rnacentral:tRNA from 1 species
AUCACCUUGGCAGAUAAAUGCACUGGAGUUAGGAUCCAAUUAUAUAGUUUACACACUAUAGGUUAUA